CCAAGGAGUGUGUGUUACUUGCAAGUGUUGGCGCUAAUUGAAAGCGUACACGCGUAAUGAAAGUGAAUGAUGUAACGUUUCUGCGGUGCAUUAGCUUUAGUGGUGACAGCAUCAAUGCGAUGUCUUGCAACCACGGACGGUUUUGCUGUUAAAGCAUGACUGAUCCAGAGCAAGUAGCACACGACCCGAAAGAUGGUGAUCUAUGCUUGGGCAGGGCGAAGCCACGGGAAACCAUGGUGGAAGCCCGAAGCGGUUCUGACGUGCAAAUCGAUCGUCUGACCUGAGCAUAGGGGCGAAAGACUAAUCGAACCAUCUA
rnacentral:rRNA from 1 species